UGGGGAAUAUUGCACAAUGGGCGCAAGCCUGAUGCAGCCAUGCCGCGUGUGUGAAGAAGGCCUUCGGGUUGUAAAGCACUUUCAGCGGGGAGGAAGGCGAUAAGGUUAAUAACCUCACCGAUUGACGUUACCCGCAGAAGAAGCACCGGCUAACUCCGUGCCAGCAGCCGCGGUAAUACGGAGGGUGCAAGCGUUAAUCGGAAUUACUGGGCGUAAAGCGCACGCAGGCGGUCUGUCAAGUCGGAUGUGAAAUCCCCGGGCUCAACCUGGGAACUGCAUUCGAAACUGGCAGGCUAGAGUCUUGUAGAGGGGGGUAGAAUUCCAGGUGUAGCGGUGAAAUGCGUAGAGAUCUGGAGGAAUACCGGUGGCGAAGGCGGCCCCCUGGACAAAGACUGACGCUCAGGUGCGAAAGCGUGGGGAGCAAACAGG
rnacentral:rRNA from 1 species